rnacentral:rRNA from 1 species
CCUACGGGUGGCUGCAGUGGGGAAUAUUGGACAAUGGGCGAAAGCCUGAUCCAGCCAUGCCGCGUGUGUGAAGAAGGCCUUCGGGUUGUAAAGCACUUUCAGUGGGGAAGAAAGCCUUGGGGCUAAUACCCUCGAGGAAGGACAUCACCCACAGAAGAAGCACCGGCUAACUCCGUGCCAGCAGCCGCGGUAAUACGGAGGGUGCGAGCGUUAAUCGGAAUUACUGGGCGUAAAGCGCGCGUAGGCGGUCUGAUAAGCCGGUUGUGAAAGCCCCGGGCUCAACCUGGGAACGGCAUCCGGAACUGUCAGGCUAGAGUGCAGGAGAGGAAGGUAGAAUUCCCGGUGUAGCGGUGAAAUGCGUAGAGAUCGGGAGGAAUACCAGUGGCGAAGGCGACCUUCUGGACUGACACUGACGCUGAGGUGCGAAAGCGUGGGUAGCAAACAGGAUUAGAUACCCUGGUAGUC